GAAUUGCUAGUAAUCGCGGAUCAGAAUGCCGCGGUGAAUACGUUCCCGGGUCUUGUACACACCGCCCGUCACACCAUGGGAGUCGGAAAUGCCCGAAGUCUGUGACCCAACCUUAGGGAGGGAGCAGCCGAAGGCAGGUCGGAUGACUGGGGUGAAGUCGUAACAAGGUAAC
rnacentral:rRNA from 1 species